rnacentral:lncRNA from 1 species
UGCCUGAUCGUAGGCCUGGUCCCGGAGAGGAGGGGUGUAUAGUGCGACUUGUCGGACAUGUCAUACGGGAUUUCCAUCUUCCCCGAUCGAGUCCCUACUUUACCUAAGAUCAAUUGAACUAUAAAGAAUUUCCAACGUUCAGUUUAGUUUGGAGGUUCAUUGUAAGUCAUUUCAGCCCGGACCAAUCAAAUGAACCAGGCACGUCUGAUUUCUAUUCAUCCAAUUUCUAUUCUAUGUUAGGAUUGAAUAUUUGUUUGACAAAAGGCAUAUAGCGGGAUGGAAGAAGUGGAACAAAAGGAGAAGAAAUGGCGGUAAGAUCAUUCAUUUGUCUUUUGUGUCUGGGCAGGGGAAGGGGAGGCGAGCGAGUAGCCGCUGAAAUACAACAUGGUCCAGCCAGUACAGUGCAGGUGCUGCAGAUCAUCACAUAAAUUCGUGACUAGGCAGAUGGGACUACGCCUUAGCCUUACCUUAGCACUAAGAAGGGGAUCUCGAGCUGCCUAUUCGAGAGAGAGGUUGAGAGACGUGAUGUGCAUGAGACCGAGCCACGCUCUCCAAGUCUCUAAUCAGGGAUAUCGAAGAUAAGUAAUUUCGAGACCCACGA